UGGAGCUGCAGGCGGUGCUGGCGCGCCGAGAGGGAUUCGAACCCCCGACCCCCAGGUUCGAAGCCUGGUGCUCUAUCCA
rnacentral:tRNA from 1 species